UGUAUCGGCCGGAAUAGAACCCGGGCCGCCCGCGUGGCAGCGAGCAUUCUACCACUGAACCACCGAUGG
rnacentral:tRNA from 1 species